AUCGUGAUGUCAACAUGCACUGAACAGUAGAUAAAAGAUUUUCAUAUCAGUUUUACUAGACAGUACACACCAGACGUAGUUGUGAUCAAAAUGAGGGGGUUCUGCGUCUUUGCCUUCUGUGUCUUAAUUAUUUUCAGGUAUGUAAUGUUCAUUUUUGUUGCAUUUUACUUCACACCAUUUUUACUCAGCCUGCAUUGAAUCAUCUUUCGCGUCAGUUUGCUCUGCAGCCUCUUUGAGAGGCUGUGUUGGACAGAUUUUCCAAUGUUUCGUCAGCCCAUGUGAUGUUGCCAAGUGUUCGUAUCCAAAUGCUCACUGUGUGGCUGACUAUUGCAAUGGAUGUAACGCUGUUUGGUACCAUGGACAUAUAAAACUGACCACUGAACAGUGUGCUGGAACAACGACAACGCCACCAUUUUAAUAUGUUUGCAACGACGUAUUAUACAUAUAUCAAUAUUGCUAUUGAAGCUGUUUUGUUUUUUAAUCAUGUACAUGUGUUGCAACCACUAUUGAAAUACGACCAGUAUUGAAAUAAUUAUUUCAAUAGUAUUGAGAAUGCAUUUCAAUAACAAACAUGGUUGCAACCAAUAUUGAAAUACGUCCACUAUCGAAAUAAUUAUUUCAAUAGUGGUUGAGAGUGCAUUUCAAUAACAAACAUAGGCUGUAACCAUCAUUGAAAUACGACCACUAUUGAAAAAUUUAUGUAAAUAGUGGUUGAGAGUGUAUUUCAAUAACAAACAUAGGUUGCAACCACUAUGUAUAUUGAUAGAUUGUCUGUUGGUUUUCGCCGAUUCGGCCAGAUUCAGCGGGAACUUGCUUAUAACAUCUGCAUACAUGUUUGAAUUAAAGGUAGGUCAGUUUAAUAAACAGUGUCCGUGAAUUAAUCUAAAUUUCUACAAAAAAGUAAAACAUAAAACAACUUCAAAGUUUCAAAAGUGUUACUUAUAUUUCAAUAGUGGUUGCAACCUGUUUGUUAUUGAAAAGCACUCUCAACCACUUAGGCACUAUUGAAAUAAUUAUUUCAAUAGUGAGUGGUCUUAUUUCAACAGCGGUUGCAAUCUCUGUUUGUUAUUGAAAUGCACUCUCAACCACUAUUGAAAUAAUUAUUUCAACAGUGGGCGUAUUUCAAUAGUGGUUGCAACCAAUAUUUGUUAUUGAAAUGCACUCUCAACCACUAUUGAAAUGAUUAUUUCAGUAGUGGUUGCAACCUAUGUUUGUUAUUGAAUUGUACUCUCACCCACUAUUGAAAUACUGAAACUCUUAAAAAAGUGUCACUUUUCAGUUCAUAUUGAUUCUAUCUAAAUCUUUUAUUAGCAUGCAUAUUCACAAUGUAGAUACUCUUUAUAAUUUAUACUGUUUUUUCAUGUACGUGUAAUAAUUUCAAAAGUGGUCGUAUUUCAAUAGUGGUUGCAACCUAUGUUUUUUAUUGAAAAGCACUCUCAACCACUGUUGAAAUAAUUAUUUCAAUAAUGGACGUAUUUCAAUAGUGGUUGCAACCUAUGUUUGUUAUUGGAAUGCACUCUCAACCACUAUUUCAAUACUGUAGAUUCCUAAUUAUACGCGAGGAAUUAAUUUCCGCGUAAUUUCGCGAGAAACGUCACUCGCGAAAAAAUAAUACUCGCUUUUAUUUUUAUGGUGCUAAAGUCUAUGUAAAUUCUGUUGAUCAACCGUCCAUUGGCGAAUUAUAAUUCUCGCGAUUUGACGUUAAAGAUCCAGUUCGCGAUAAAACGUACUCGCGAAAAAUAAGGAAUUUACAGUAAUGGUUGCAACAUACAUGUACUACGUUUCUUAAGACAGUUUAUAACGUACGUUUAUUAUCGACGGUGGCAAUGCAAUAUAUACAUAUACUCUAAUUGUAAAUAAUUGUAUUGUCGUCCAACAAUACACAUUGACAAUGUCGCCUUUAUUUGUAUUGAAGAGCAUUUUCUCACUCUCUACAGCGCGGGCGACAAAAUGUAACCUUACAUACUGGCAAAUAUACUAGUAACGGUCAGGAGGCGUCGGAACGUCAAAACGUAUACAUGUAUGUAGACAUAAACCUAGCCGUAUCUUGUGUCGAUUUUGAGAGUAGUAUUGGGAUAAACAUUGUAAGUUUUCUCAAUCUUAAAGAAACGAUGCAGUCAUUAUAACCAUGAACAUUCGACAAGACCUCAAGACCUAAACAUUUCAACCAAACGAAAAAUAUUACGGCUUCAUUGCACAUCUUAUAAAAUAUGGAGAUAACAAUCAUAUUUAAGCUCAAAGUCCAAGAAAACAAUACAAAUCAUGAGUCAUGAUCGGGGAAUAACGGAAAAUCCGUCGACAAUGUAGUAUACAAAAACGGGCUAACAAUUAUCAUGUUAUGAAAAUGUCCAUCAGCAUUUGAAUUAACGAAAUAUUGUAUGCUGGCAAAUUCAUUACAUAUGUAUAUCAACCAUAGAAUUUGGGAUAUGAUGACUUUGAACGAGACUAUUGAUAUCCUUGUUUCAUCAAUUUGUUUGUCAACUACAUGUAAUAUCCUCGAUUUAAAAUUGUUCCUACGUAGAGCCCUUGUGUAUCGAAUUAACUGAGAGGUGCAGGUGAUGAGGGCAUAUUGCAACAUAAAAGGCGAAAUUGACGAAAGAAAAGGUGAAGUAAUCACCUUUUGUUGUUAGAUUAUCAUAAAUGUCUUAUUCAAGUGAAAUUUCAAAAUACAUGUAUGAAACAGAUGAGUCAAACUCUUUGGUAUCUAUUAUUUCAAUUUCAUGACAUGAACCUCCGCAAAUGUAAACGUCGCUUUCGACAACCCUGAUAUUUACCUACUUAAUUUUAGAUACAUUAGGGACGCAUCACUUCUACAGAGUAAUGUAAUCUGGUUUUUAUCUGUUUUUUUUCACUGCCUUAUAACCUUCAAUGUCACGCAAAUUAUUUAUUUAUCAUUAUUAUAUUAUUAUCUUUAUAGCUAUUUUCAUUUGUUUUUCAUCUAGUUGA